CACUCCUGCGGGAGGCAGCAGUGGGGAAUAUUGGACAAUGGGCGCAAGCCUGAUCCAGCCAUGCCGCGUGAGUGAUGAAGGCCCUAGGGUUGUAAAGCUCUUUCACCGGUGAAGAUAAUGACGGUAACCGGAGAAGAAGCCCCGGCUAACUUCGUGCCAGCAGCCGCGGUAAUACGAAGGGGGCUAGCGUUGUUCGGAUUUACUGGGCGUAAAGCGCACGUAGGCGGACUAUUAAGUCAGGGGUGAAAUCCCGGGGCUCAACCCCGGAACUGCCUUUGAUACUGGUAGUCUUGAGUUCGAGAGAGGUGAGUGGAAUUCCGAGUGUAGAGGUGAAAUUCGUAGAUAUUCGGAGGAACACCAGUGGCGAAGGCGGCUCACUGGCUCGACACUGACGCUGAGGUGCGAAAGCGUGGGGAGCAAACAGGAUUAGAAACCCGUGUAGUCCCA
rnacentral:rRNA from 1 species